rnacentral:rRNA from 1 species
UACGGAGGGUGCGAGCGUUGUCCGGAAUCAUUGGGCGUAAAGGGCGCGUAGGUGGCCCGGUCAGUUCGUGGUGAAAGCGCGGGGCUCAACUCCGCGUCGGCCAUGAAUACUGCUGGGCUGGAGCACUGUAGAGGCAGGCGGAAUUCCGGGUGUAGCGGUGGAAUGCGUAGAGAUCCGGAAGAACACCGGUGGCGAAGGCGGCCUGCUGGGCAGUUGCUGACACUGAGGCGCGACAGCGUGGGGAGCAAACAGG